GGGUCCCUCUGUGGUGGAGUGGUAGAGCAUCUGCUUUGCAUGCAGGAGGUUCUGGGUUCAAUCCCUGGUAUCUCCA